rnacentral:rRNA from 1 species
AUACGUAGGUGACAAGCGUUAUCCGGAUUUACUGGGCGUAAAGGGCGUGUAGGCGGUCUUGCAAGUCAGAAGUGAAAUUCCUGAGCUCAACUCGGGCGCUGCUUCUGAAACUGCAGGACUUGAGUGCUGGAGGGGAUAGCGGAAUUCCUAGUGGAGCGGUAAAAUGCGCAGAUAUUAGGAAGAACACCGGUGGCGAAGGCGGCUAUCUGGACAGUAACUGACGCUGAGACGCGAAAGCGUGGGGAGCAAACAGGAUUAGAUACCCUGGUAGUCCACGCCGCAAACGAUGAAUACUAGGUGUAGGGGGUAUCGACUCCCUCUGUGCCGCAGUUAACACAAUAAGUAUUCCGCCUGGGGAGUACGGCCGCAAGGUUGAAACUCAAAUGAAUUGACGGGG